rnacentral:rRNA from 1 species
GAUGAACGCUCGCGGCAGGCCUAAUACAUGCAAGUCGGACGGGAUUCAGGAGCUUGCUUCUGAUGAGAGUGGCGCACGGGUGCGUAACACGUAUGUAACCUACCUUUAUCAGGGGGAUAGCCUCUCGAAAGAGAGAUUAAGCCCGCAUAAAAUCACAGCACAGCAUUGUGUAAUGAUCAAAUAUUUAUAGGAUAAAGAUGGGCAUGCGGAACAUUAGCUAGAUGGCGGGGUAACGGCCCACCAUGGCGACGAUGUUUAGGGGAUCUGAGAGGAUGGCCCCCCAAACUGGUACUGAGACACGGACCAGACUCCUACGGGAGGCAGCAGUAAGGAAUAUUGGUCAAUGGGCGGAAGCCUGAACCAGCCAUGCCGCGUGCAGGAAGACGGUCCUACGGGUUGUAAACUGCUUUUAUACGGGAAUAAACCCAGAUACGUGUAUCUGGCUGAAUGUACUGUAAGAAUAAGGAUCGGCUAACUCCGUG